AAGGGGGGUGAAAGCGUUGUUCGGAAUUAUUGGGCGUAAAGCGCGUGUAGGCGGUUUGUUAAGUCUGAUGUGAAAGCCCCGGGCUCAAACUGGGAAGUGCAUUGGAAACUGGCAGACUUGAAUACGGGAGAGGGUAGUGUAAUUCCUGGUGUGCGAGUGAAAUCCGUAGAUAUCAUGAGGAACACCGGUGGCGAAGGCGGCUGCCUGGACCGAUAUUGUUGCUGAUACGCGAAAGCGUGGAUAGCAAACAG
rnacentral:rRNA from 1 species